rnacentral:rRNA from 1 species
CCUACGGGUGGCAGCAGUGAGGAAUAUUGGUCAAUGGGCGGAAGCCUGAACCAGCCAAGUAGCGUGCAGGAUGACGGCCCUACGGGUUGUAAACUGCUUUUAUACGGGAAUAACGCGCCUUACGUGUAGGGCUUUGCAUGUACCGUAUGAAUAAGGACCGGCUAAUUCCGUGCCAGCAGCCGCGGUAUUACGGAAGGUCCGGGCGUUAUCCGGAUUUAUUGGGUUUAAAGGGAUCGUAGGCCGCAUGUCAAGCGUGCUGUGAAAUGUCCGGGCUCAACCCGGGCCUUGCAGCGCGAACUGGCGUGCUUGAGUCCGCGGAAAGCAGGCGGAAUUCGUCGUGUAGCGGUGGAAUGCUUAGAUAUGACGAAGAACCCCGAUUGCGAAGGCAGCUUGCUGCAGCGGAACUGACGCUGAUGCUCGAAAGCGCGGGUAUCGAACAGGAUUAGAUACCCCAGUAGUC